rnacentral:rRNA from 1 species
AGUAGCGAACGGGUGAGUAACGCUGGGGUAACCUGCCUUAUAGCGGGGGAUAACUAUUGGAAACGAUAAGCUAAUACCGCAUAACAAUAGAGAUUGCAUAAUCUUUAUUUGAAAGUGCCAACUGGUACACUAUGAGAUGGACCCGCGUUGUAUUAGCUAGUUGGUAGUGUAAUGGACUACCAAGGCGAUGAAACAUAGCCGACCUGAGAGGGUGAUCGGCCACAUUGGGACUGAGACACGGCCCAAACUCCUACGGGAGGCAGCAGUAGGGAAUCUUCGGCAAUGGACGAAAGUCUGACCGAGCAACGCCGCGUGAGUGAAGAAGGUUUUCGGAUCGUAAAACUCUGUUGUUAGAGAAGAAUGUUGAUUAGAGUGGAAAAUUAAUCAAGUGACGGUAUCUAACCAGAAAGGGACGGCUAACUACGUG